GACGAACGCUGGCGGCGUGCUUAACACAUGCAAGUCGAACGGAAAGGCCCUGCUUUUUUGCGGUGCUCGAGUGGCGAACGGGUGAGUAACACGUGAGUAACCUGCCCUUGACUUUGGGGUAACUUCAGGACACUGGGGCUAAUACCGGAUAGGAGCUCCUGCUGCAUGGUGGGGGUUGGAAAGUUUCGGUGGUUGGGGAUGGACUCGCGGCGUAUGAGCUUGGUGGUUGGGUAGUGGCUUACCAAGGCUUGGAAGGGUAGCCGGCCUGAGCGGGUGACCGGACACACUGCGACGGAGAUGCGGCCCAGACUACUACGGGAGGCAACAGUGGGGAAUAGUGUAUAAGGGGCGGAAGCAUGAUGCAGCAACGCCGCGUGGGGGAUGACGGCCUGCGGGUUGGAAACCGAUGUCGCCUGUGACGAAGCGUGAGUGACGGUAAUGGGUAAAGAAGCACCGGCUAACUACGUG
rnacentral:rRNA from 1 species